AUCAAUUUAAAUAUGGCCUUUUGAAGGAAACAAACAAGUUUGAUCAGAAUGCCAUAUUAAAAUGAAAGUUAGAUGUUUUUGCAAGUAAAGUUAUUGGCUAAAUAUACUUUAUCAUUUAUAUGACUAUAAACUAGUAAAAGAAGAUCCCAUUUGAAACUAUGGGAUUACAAAAUACAAAAGAUUUUGGUACAGAAGGCACCUGACUCAGUUUUGAUUGCCUUUGCUUUUAAAUUAAAUCCCAACCUUCAUUAUUAUUAUUCUGCCCCUGUUUUUCAAAAUCAGAAAGCCAGUUGAUACUCAUUCUGAAGUUUUCAGUCCUAAUAACUUAUUCAUGGAAUCCAGAUGGAAAAUUCCCAUCUGGAAUUGUUAACCACCUUGAGGGUCAGAGAUUUUCUUUGAGAAUCAGAGGAAAGCAAUGAACCUCAGACCUGGCAGGUGAGGGGACCAGGAGAAGACAGGAAGCACAUGUGUUCAAACAGACGAAAGUGUGCACACAGGUAGUUCAUGCCCAAGCUUCAGAACCCUAGCGCUGCUUGAUUCCCUUCAGUUGCAGAUAUUGGUGGCUGGAAUCAAGGGCCAGGCCCCAGAAAAGUCUCACAGAAGGGACAUACAUAGGGCCAAAUUGGACCCUCCGAUUCACAUCGUGUAUCUCUGAGAUGUGUGUCAAGAUUCCUAACAUGAUUUACCAAAGGCUUGAUGAUAUCACUUCAUCUUUAUUCUGCAAACUCACGCCCUAGCAUUCUUCCCAAUAAUAACUAUCACUAUCCCUAAAUAAAUGUUUAAUACUUGAAAUUCCCAAGCAUGCAUUGCUUUUUUUCUCCCUCUUGUCCUCUCUGUACAAUCAUGCGUCUCACCAUCCACUUCAAAAUUAUUUCCUAUACACACACACACACACACACACGCACACACGCUUUACAAGGCUAACUUCUAUUCAUCCUUUUAAUUACCUCAGGGCUCAUUCUUCCAAAAGACUUACAAGAUUUCCCUCAUCCCUGUCUCCCAUAAUUGGGGUUAGAUGUCCCUCUUAGAUAUACUCUACACUGUCAAACCUCAUGUGU